ACAAGUUUCAUGUUGUCUUCCACGUUGUACCAAACCAGCGAAUUGGUGUUUUCGCGCCACAGUGGUCUUAGCUCCGAAACAAAUAGCGUACUCGGCUUUCAACAUGGGGGCUGAAAAGAAAGCGUCGAGCUUUAUUGGUCCAGAAAGUUAUCUUAUAUUAGAGUGGAAAAUUAUCUUCAAAGUGGAGAGAUGUCCAAGAAUGCUGUGACAAAUACUUCAAAAUUAGCCCCAAGUGAUGACAGACGGCCAGUCAAGUUCCUCUUCCAGACAAUCAUGUUAAAACUGUCAUCAUAAAGGAAGUCACUGCAUAAAAAUCAGGGACAUUGAUGAAUCACAAGAAAUAUGAAAGGUGGCAAGAGUUGGUGAUUUGAUAAGGAAAAUGAACCUGAUGAGGGAUCGGUUGAUUGCUUCAGAUGACAGGCUGAUUUCAUGGCUGGGCAAUAACGGCACGCAAGAGAACUUUUGUUGCAUAUUUCAGAGGGUCACAUUUCAUAAACUUCUGUGA